AUUGAACGCUGGCGGCAUGCUUUACACAUGCAAGUCGAACGGGCUGGGGGCAACUCCAGUCAGUGGCGAACGGGUGAGUAAUGCAUCGGAACGUGUCCCGUAGUGGGGGAUAACCCGGCGAAAGCCGGACUAAUACCGCAUAUGCUCUACGGAGGAAAGUGGGGGACCGCAAGGCCUCACGCUAUGGGAGCGGCCGAUGUCCGAUUAGCUUGUUGGUGGGGUAAUGGCCUACCAAGGCGACGAUCGGUAGCUGGUCUGAGAGGAUGAUCAGCCACACUGGGACUGAGACACGGCCCAGACUCCUACGGGAGGCAGCAGUGGGGAAUUUUGGACAAUGGGGCAACCCUGAUCCAGCCAUG
rnacentral:rRNA from 1 species